CUUAAUGGUAGCUGUGCGCAGGGCGCCUUCGGGUGCGCCGGGACUGCUUAGAACCACCGGUCGACUAACCUGCGCAUAGCUGCCACCCAU
rnacentral:antisense_RNA from 2 species